ensembl:snoRNA
UCGCGCUGCCUUUGAGCCCCCACCGCGCCUGCACGUGGCCGCCGGGGUCUAGCUGUGGCGCCACAGUAUGCACUUGCACAUAACUGGGGCCGCUUGGCUCAGUUGGAUUGGACAGGAGUGUCAUACUUACUUGAAAGAGAAAGGCACAUGG